AAUUGUGGCCGUACCUUUUUUGUCCAAUUUUGUCUGACCUGAAAAGCUAAGCAGGACUGGGCCUGGUUAGGACUUGGACAGGAGACAGCUGGGAAUACGAGAUAUCACAGAGG
rnacentral:rRNA from 1 species